CUUGUCUGCAAGACUUUUUUGGUGAUGAUGAUGUUUUUAUUGCUUGUGGACCUGAAAAAUUCCGUUAUGCCCAAGAUGACUUCGUCCUGGAUCACAGUGAAUGUCGUGUCUUGAAGUCAUCUUAUUCUCGCUCCUCAGCUGUUAAAUAUUCUGGAUCUAAAAGUCCUGGGCCCUCCCGACGCAGCAAAUCACCAGCUUCAGUAAAGAGGGGUGGCCACCACUCCAGUGCCUGCUCUGCGGCCAGAUCCCCAGUUAACGGAACUCCCAGCAGCCAGCUGUCUACUCCUAAAUCAACAAAAUCCUCUAGCUCUUCUCCAACUAGCCCAGGAAGUUUCAGAGGA